AUCAAUAAAGGACAGCAGCGGGACACAGCGCUGGGAUAAGGGACUUUCCCGCCAAAUAAGGGACGGUUGACAGCUAUGACUAUGAUGCCACUUAAAGCAUUAUGAUGCCCCCCACAAAGAAUUCUGGGAGUUGUAGUUUGUUAAGGGUUGUUAGGAAACUCCUAUUCCCCUCACAAAGUUACCAUUUCCUAGAGUUGUUGAUCCUUGAAGCAAAAAUGGCAGCAACAAGAAAUACCGACGAAAUAAGAAUGGCAGACGAAGGUGAUGAUGGACUUUGCGGAACUGGCGAAGCUGACCGGAAAAAUCCGAAACCAACGUGAUCAAACUUUCCAAAAAGACUGGAGUAAAUUUAUACAAUAUUUAAAGGACCACUGUAUACAAUUAACAACACUAGCAGGGUUGUAAGGAGUCUUGUAAUGAUAAUUGUCAUUACCUUUUAAUAUUUAUUUAAAAGUUGUGAUAUUCUGAAUGAGUGAAACUGGAAAAUGUAUAAAUGCUAUGAUAUAAAAAUUAACUUUGAAAACCAUGAGGCGGGAGGGAAGGAAGUCGACAGGCUCUUAAGAGCAAAAGAAAUGGAUAAUGAGGAUGUGUUUAAAUAUUAUAAAAUGGAAACUUAAUAAAAAUAUUACACACACACACAAUUUCCUAGAGUUCCCUGUGAAGAAGUUUUGAUUGUUCGACCGCUCUGGAAAUUGUAGCUCUUGGAGGAGAAUACGGGGUCUCCUAGCAACUCUCAGGGUCCUAAACAAACUACAGCUCCCAUAACUCUUUGGGGGAAGCUAAAGUGGUAUUAUAGUGCUACAAUUGCAUGACGUGACUGUGCCUUAAUGUCAAGUGCAGCUCUGUCGUUAGACUGCGUUGGUAGACAAAACGAAGCGCUGAACUAAGAGAGGAGGAAUGAGAAAAGCAGGGACAGGCCCAAGGCUUCCUCCAACAUGUGGAGGUGAAAAAACAGGGUGCCGUCUUCCGAGGCUGCACUUCUGCACGGGUCACAUGACCCAUGUACGGUCGUGCCCCUGGAAAAAGUGGGGUUUUGGGGGGUGAGAUCGUGGCAUAAGAUCAAGGCAAGCAAAAUGGCCACCGUGCUCUUGUGUGAGAAAGCAGGUUGUGGUGGGGUUAACCAGACAUCCCCUGUUGCUGGGCAAGCUGGUUUGGUUGGCCCACUGUGUGAUUGGACUCCUUGGGUUUCUGGGGAGAGUGUGAUGUUGCUAUUAUUGAUUGACAGCCUGGGUUGAUAUAUAUAUAUAUAUUUCCCGCAUGAAGCGUAUAGCUCUUUUCGCUCUGUGCAUUGGAUUGCCUGCCCCCCCCCAUAUUUAGGGUUGUUCGCAUUGACCUUGCUAUGUCUGUCAUGGGGUCGUCUGCUCUUGGGGCAGGGGCCUGGUAGGAAUUUUGUCCAUCUGGCUGUUUGGCUGGUGCCAUUUGGUUUUUGCCUACUGCGUAAAUCUUCACAACUUGUAAGGUUGCGGUUAGGCAUUGGUUUAUAGAAAAAUUGGUUGGUGGAGGGUUAGGGAUUGGCUGUGACUACCCCUACUAUGUUGUUGCUGCAAGGGUAUUCAAUUAAAGGAAUCCAGGGGCUCACCAUGCUUUUGUCUGCACCCCUGUAAAAGGGGAUAGGGCCACACAAGAGCCCCUGGGAGCAUUUGGGGAGAGGUGAGGGUCUGGUACCCAGCUCCAUUUACUCCCCAUAAAAUGUUUUCCCUUACUGACUUCGCAGGAUUGCGGAUGUCAGUUCUGUCCCGGGGCGGGGACAGAUAGUCGCAACCAAUGCAGACGAUAUUAAAAAAUAAAUUUAAGGAACCGCAGAAAGAGAGGGAAGGAGGUCAGACUUUGAAAUGUUGAAAUGAUUGUCAAAUUAAUGAAAUGUAUAAAUUUGAAAAGUAUGUAUUAUUAUUUUUUUUUAAUUGCAUGCACUAUUAUCAAUUCCACUUCUUACAUGCCCUUUUCCCCCUAAACAAAAAGGCCCCAAAGAGAGUUCCUUGGGGCUGAGGGGCUGGGGAGAGUCACUCCACCUCCUUGUUUUGGUUGCCAUUUACUGAACCUUUUCUAUCUCUGCAAUAUCCUUCUGGAGUUGCUUCCUUGCAUAAAUGCACCUCAGUCCCCGUUCAGGACGCCAGCUGGCUUCCUCUUGCUCGAAGGACUGAUUGGCUUCCUGUUGCUUCUGCAUCCUACCCACUCUAUUCCGAGUUUUAAUAGAGAAACACACUUUAUUUAUUUGUUGGAACUUUUUUUUUUAACGAAAACCACUUUUCUGUCCUAACGAGGCCCUCCUAAGGUGGUUGACAAAAGAGUGAAAUCAACAAAAUGCCACCAAUGAACAAAAAUGAAAAUUUAAACCUUAAGAUCAAAAGGAGCAGAGUUUUAACAGCCACAUGGAAUAAGUGGACCUGGAAAAAUACACAGAAGCCAAAUAAAUUAGACCUAAUGGGGAAAAUACAGGAGCAUUUAAAUGUGAUUACAUUGAUAAAAAAAAUCAAGAAAUGAGGAAAAGUACAUAGAAGUGCUGAAUUAGGGGAGUUAUAUAACUAUAAGCAUAUUAACAGAGCACUGGAACUCUUUGUUGCUAUAAUUGAUUACAGUGCUUAAAUGGAUUUAAAUUUGAGUGGCUAGCUAGGGUGCAAGUGAGAAAAUGUAUGACAGAAGAUAAUUUCUAUUAUAGAGUCAGAUGCAUUUUUUUGUAGUAUAGGUUUGUUUUAGAUUGAUAAAGUGCAUGUUUAAUAAAAUUGCAUAUUUCAACAGAGCAAAACAGCCAAGCAGAAUACGAAUGGUUUCAUUGCCCACCAAACACCAUCAGAGAUGGGGCUAGUCUAACCUCCUUUGGAAGACAAUUCCACAACCAUGGUGCUUUAUAAGAAAAGCACCUGCCUCAUCUUCCCUCUUUUACCCUUU